UUAAGUUCAGCGGGUAUUCCUACCUGAUCCGAGGUCAACCUUGGUGCCGCCGGAGCGGGCUUGAGGGGGGUUUAGAGGCCGGAUAGCCCGCAGGCUCCCGAUGCGAGGCAGAUGUUACUACGCAAAGGAAGGGCCCAACGGGUCCGCCACUGGUUUUCGGGGACUGCCUGGGCAGAUCCCCAACGCCGGGCCACGGGGGC
rnacentral:misc_RNA from 1 species